AUACGGAGGGUGCAAGCGUUAAUCGGAAUUACUGGGCGUAACGCGCGCGUAGGCGGGUAUUUAAGUCAGAUGUGAAAUCCCUGGGCUCAACCUAGGAACUGCAUCUGAUACGGGGUAACUAGAGUUUUGGAGAGGUAAGUGGAAUUUCCGGUGUAGCGGUGAAAUGCAUAGAGAUUGGAAGGAACACCAGUGGCGAAGGCGACUUACUGGCCAAAAACUGACGCUGAGGUGCGAAAGCGUGGGUAGCAAACAGGAUUAGAAACCCUUGUAGUCC
rnacentral:rRNA from 1 species